rnacentral:rRNA from 1 species
CUACGGGGGGCUGCAGUGGGGAAUAUUGCACAAUGGGCGCAAGCCUGAUGCAGCCAUGCCGCGUGUAUGAAGAAGGCCUUCGGGUUGUAAAGUACUUUCAGCGGGGAGGAAGGGAGUAAAGUUAAUACCUUUGCUCAUUGACGUUACCCGCAGAAGAAGCACCGGCUAACUCCGUGCCAGCAGCCGCGGUAAUACGGAGGGUGCAAGCGUUAAUCGGAAUUACUGGGCGUAAAGCGCACGCAGGCGGUUUGUUAAGUCAGAUGUGAAAUCCCCGGGCUCAACCUGGGAACUGCAUCUGAUACUGGCAAGCUUGAGGCUCGUAGAGGGGGGUAGAAUUCCAGGUGUAGCGGUGAAAUGCGUAGAGAUCUGGAGGAAUACCGGUGGCGAAGGCAGCCCCCUGGACGAAGACUGACGCUCAGGUGCGAAAGCGUGGGGAGCAAACAGGAUUAGAUACCCGAGUAGUC